GACGAACGCUGGCGGCGGGCUUAACACAUGCAAGUCGAACGGAAACGCACUACUUUUGUGGGCUGAUCGAUUGGCGAACGGGUGCGUAACACGUGAAUAUCCUGCUCUACACUUUGGGAUGACUUCAGGAAGCGGGGGUUAAGAUAGGAUCGGAGACCCCGUUGCAUUGUGGGGAGUGGAACGUCUCGGCGGGUGGGGAUGGACUGGCGGGUUAUCAGCUUGCUAGUGGGGUAGUGGCUGACCAAGGGAUGGACGGAUAGCCGACCUGUGAGGGUGACCGGCGACAUUGGGACUGAGAGACGGCGCAGACUCCUACGGGAGGCAACAGUCGCAAAUAUUGCACAAUGGGCGGAAGCCUGAUGCAGCAACGCCGCGUGCGGGAUGACGGCCUUCGGGUAAUGAAACGCUUUCGCCUGUGACGAAGCGUGAGUGACGGUAAUGAGUAAAGAAGCACCGGCUAACUACGUG
rnacentral:rRNA from 1 species